GCCACGUCUUUGGAGCGCACCCACUCCUGCCCCCCCUCCAUCUGCCACCACUCACCUCAGUUCUCACCCUGGUCCCCGCUGCGUGCGGCAAACCCCCGCGCAUGCGGAGCUGGAGAUGCUUGUGAUGGAUGGCGCACAGGAGCCAAAGCACAAUCUAUAAACUUACCAGUGCGAUUAAUUUACUUAGCAAUGGCAGAUCCCUGAUAUUCUACAGUGCCUACAUGUCAGCCCACCUCCCAGCUGAAACCUCAGUGCGACAGUCACAUGCUUCUGAAGGCAGAUUCCUGUCAGUCAGCCAACUUUCUUCAUCCUCAGAGGUGCUGCCAGACCUAUGGCCUUCAACACUGCCUUAUUCCUCACCAGGUGCAAAGAAUUAAACAACUGAUGUGAGACUUCUGGGAAAGAUGGUGGAUUAGAAGCCUCACCAGGAACUCGGUAAAAGAUACCAGUGACGAGAAUACAAAAUAAACUGUUAUUCUGCAAGAAACAAGG